CAGAGGCCGCUGAGGAGCUGCCUGUGGCCGGAGGACGGGAGCCUUGCUUUCCAGUGUGCACUUGUGCAUCUUUUUAAUUUUGUACCACGUGCAUUUUAACUAUUGAAUACCAAUUAAAAUAGUUUAAAAUAUUUGAUUCACUGGGCAAAGCAGGCAGAUUCUGGCAGAGAUGAACCCGAGGGCUGGCUGGGGCCGCGUGCAUCUCCUGGCCGUCUAUGCCUCCCAGCGGGGGAAGGAGGCAGCCACCUCUGUGUGCGGCCUGGAGGCGGCCUUGGUGUGCUGAGCACCUCCUGGCACUGCCCCUCCACCUGGUCACUGUGGGCAAAGUUACCACAUCUUGCUACGCCUCAGUUUCCUCAUCUGAAACAUGGGAAUAACCUUAUAGGGCAGGCAUGAGGAUUCAACGCACCAUGGUGGAAAUGCCCAGCAGGAGCUGGUCGUCUGUGCCCCCACCCGAGCGGGCAGGAGGGACUUGGAUGGAGACCUGAUCCCAGGGGACCAAGAAGCCUGGGGCUGGGACCUCGAUUCUGUGUCUCUCUCAGGACCAUUUCUGCAGGAUGUGGUGCUGAGGCCUCAGACAGUCCCCAGGGCUGCUGGCCACCCCUUUCCUCCUGAGGCCUGUGGCAAAUCGACGGAAUAAUGAAGACCCCUCCCACUGGUGCUGCGACUUGGAAAUCACCCUCUCCUCUUUGUACAGUCAACGGCCA
rnacentral:lncRNA from 10 species